CCUACGGGUGGCUGCAGUCGAGAAUUUUUCACAAUGGGCGCAAGCCUGAUGGAGCGACGCCGCGUGGGGGAUGAAUGGCUUCGGCCCGUAAACCCCUGUCAUUCGGGAGCAAAACGUCUGGCCUAAUACGUCCGACGUUGAUAGUACCGGAAGAGGAAGGGACGGCUAACUCUGUGCCAGCAGCCGCGGUAAUACAGAGGUCCCAAGCGUUGUUCGGAUUUACUGGGCGUAAAGGGUGCGUAGGCGGCUGGGCAAGUCUGGUGUGAAAGCUCGAAGCUUAACUUCGAAAUGGCACUGGAUACUGCCUGGCUGGAGGUUGGGAGGGGGGACUGGAAUUCUCGGUGUAGCAGUGAAAUGCGUAGAUAUCGAGAGGAACACCAGUGGCGAAGGCGAGUCCCUGGACCAAUCCUGACGCUGAGGCACGAAAGCCAGGGGAGCAAACGGGAUUAGAUACCCGAGUAGUC
rnacentral:rRNA from 1 species